UACGUAGGGGGCAAGCGUUGUCCGGAAUCAUUGGGCGUAAAGAGCGUGUAGGCGGCCCGGUAAGUCCGCUGUGAAAGUCCAGGGCUCAACCCUGGGAUGCCGGUGGAUACUGUCGGGCUCGAGUCCGGAAGAGGAGUGUGGAAUUCCUGGUGUAGCGGUGGAAUGCGCAGAUAUCAGGAGGAACACCGGUGGCGAAGGCGGGUCUCUGGGCCGUUACUGACGCUGAGGAGCGAAAGCGUGGGGAGCGAACAGG
rnacentral:rRNA from 1 species